GGGCCUAUAGCUCAGUAGGUUAGAGCGCAGUCCUGAUAAGACUGAGGUCGGUGGUUCGAGCCCACCUAGGCCCACCA
rnacentral:tRNA from 38 species